rnacentral:rRNA from 1 species
GACGAACGCUGGCGGCGUGCUUAACACAUGCAAGUCGAACGGUGAAAGCGGAGCUUGCUCCGCUGGAUCAGUGGCGAACGGGUGAGUAACACGUGGGCAACCUGCCCCUCACUUCGGGAUAACUCCGGGAAACCGGGGCUAAUACCGGAUAUGACCUCCUUGGGCAUCCUUGGAGGUGGAAAGUUUUUCGGUGAGGGAUGGGCCCGCGGCCUAUCAGCUUGUUGGUGAGGUAGUGGCUCACCAAGGCGACGACGGGUAGUCGGCCUGAGAGGGGGACCGGCCACACUGGGACUGAGACGCGGCCCAGACUGCUACGGGAGGCAGCAGUGGGGAAUAUUGCGCAAUGGGCGAAAGCCUGACGCAGCAACGCCGCGUGCGGGAUGACGGCCUUCGGGUUGUAAACCGCUUUCAGCAGGGAAGAAGCCGCAAGGUGACGGUACCUGCAGAAGAAGCACCGGCUAACUACGUGCCAGCAGCCGCAGUAA